rnacentral:lncRNA from 1 species
CAGUAGGACUGACUGGAGCCAUUGUACAGUGUCGGGAACACACCAGGACACUGAGAAUAGCGUCAUGUCAUAAAAACUCAGAGCAGAUGGACCCUGCUGUGAUGCACAAAGGGAUGAAAUGGGAUUUUGUUGGCGCCAAGACCUGAUUGCUUUGCCAGUUACCCUCACCCCUGGCUCACGAGGAAAGUGUAUUGAGGAGAUUCUCGAGGAACCACAUGAGUUUUAAUAUCAUAAGCUUCUGUCCUGAAUUGAAAG